AUGACUCUCGGCAACGGAUAUCUCGGCUCUUGCAUCGAUGAAGAACGUAGCGAAAUGCGAUACUUGGUGUGAAUUGCAGAAUCCCGUGAACCAUCGAGUCUUUGAACGCAAGUUGCGCCCGAAGCCAUUAGGUUGAGGGCACGCCUGCCUGGGUGUCACACAU
rnacentral:rRNA from 1 species